rnacentral:lncRNA from 1 species
GAGAGACCUAGGUUAGUAGGUUAGAUGGAGAUGUUAGUAAAAUAGUUAUAAUAAAGACUCAGGUUUCUAAAUAUGAAAUCAUGAACAUUCAUAAUACAGGACCCAACUUAAAGAAGUAAGUAUUGGAGAGGAAAACCAAAAAAAAAAAAUAGAUGGUGGAUGCCCUCAUAUGUCACCCCAAACCAUCUUUCGGGUCUAAAACACUCAUCCCCCAACUGCUGAAGUUGGUACUGUUGAAGUCUCUCAUCUGAGACUGCUCCAGAAAUUGCCCUCAACUAAAGAGAGCCACAAGGGCCAAGAUCUUAUUGCUACUCAGUGGUCUGCCAUAUGCAAUGAUUAAUUUAUGCUAAGGUACAAAAGCUAAGAGCUCUCUUGCCCCAAUGGAGAGAUGAUUCUAUAGGUCAGUCCCACCUUCCAGCUUCAGGGGUUCUUCGUGCAUCAUCAGAGGUCUCCUUACCGUCUCAAAGUCUAACAUCUCUCUGCCAUUCCUGCUUCUAUUUCUUCCCCACAUGUGUGGAUUUUCAAAGCAGACUCAAUACUACAUGCAAAUCUCUAUCUCAAAAUCUGCUCAGAGAGUAAGUAUAAGGCAAACCUACGUAGGAUCACAAAAACCAGGGAGAGUUUAUAGUUGUCAGAGUAGGAAACAAAAGAGAGUUACUAAUGAUUCUGAAAAGGGGGAACAAUUUGUUCUGGUAAUGGAGUGAAGAGUAGAUAAAGGCAAAAAUCCUACAAUUGCAGAGGCAGAAAUCACUUUGGGGAGUUCUGCUAGAUGUCUAUGGAGUGCUUCAGUGCAGUUCCACUGUCUAGCCCCCCAAAUGUUUGCCUGAAAUGUGUCUCUUAUUUCAAAGUCCAUUUAGGAUUCUGAGCUAUAAGUAUAAUUAAUAAGCAAAAGAGAGCAGAAUUCCUUCCUUGGUUUUAAUACAAGUAGGAUCAUGUGACUAUUGAUGAUUUUGAGGAGUGAAUGGAGUUAA